rnacentral:lncRNA from 1 species
GUUUUAGCUGACGACACUCGAGAGCGCCAAUUUUCCUAGAUUCGAUUUUGUGGUUUGGAACUGUGGUUUUGGAAUCCAGAGUAGUCGCCUCGUUCUAUUGAGAUGGGGUUUCGCCACGUUGGCCAGGCUGGUCUCAAAAUCCUGACCUCAGGUAUCCAAUUGCUCCAGCACCAACUGGUGAAAAGACCAUCAUUCUUCUACUCAGUUGCAUUUGAAGCUUUGUCAAAAACCAGACACAAUUGGAGACACAGGUUCUUCUAUCAAGGCCUUGACUGGAAUGGCAUAUUUUCAGAUAUGACCACAUUGCUUUGAGGAAAUGAGGCUGAUGUUGCAGAGCUGAUAAAACCCCCACAGAAAGGCCAGCCUACCUCUGGGUCUCACUCUGUUCCCCAGGCUGGAGUGCAAUGGUGCAAUCAUAGCUCACUGCCACCUUGAACUCCUGGACUUAAGCAAUCUUCCUGCCUCAACCUCCUGAGUAGCUGGGACCACAGGUGUGUGCCACCACGCUCAGCUGGAUUUAGCUAAUAUUGAACCAUUGUUCCUAACACUGAUUUAACAAAUACUGAACCAUUACUGCCAAGUGGUUCAGAAUCUACUAAAUUAGUGUUUGCUGCAACUUUACAGAACAUAACUACUGGGAAUAAUGAAAAUCAACUUCAUUCGUGCAUGUGUGUGUUUAUUAGUGAUUGAAAGGUGGCUCCCAAAAAGAUAUGUUCAUAUUCUAAUUCAUGGAACCUUAUUCGGAAAAAGGUUCUUUGCAGAUGUAAUUAAGAUGAAAUUAUCCUGGAUUAUCAGGAUAGGCCCUAAAUCCAAUGACAAGUGUCCUUAUAACAAACAACUAAAGACAGUAAAGGAGAAGACCAUGUGAAUUUGAAGAGUGUUAUCGUUUCAAGCCGAGGAACACCUGGAGCAACCAGAAGCUGGAAGAUGCAAGGGAGGAUUCUCCCCAGAGCCUUCAGAGAGGCACAACUCUGCUGACACCUUGAUUUUGGACUUCUGGCUGCUAGAACUGUGAAAUAAUAAGUUACUGCUAUUUGAAGCCACUAAGUUUGUGGUAAUUUGUUACAGCAGCCUUUGGAAACUUAUACACAGACACAGACACACACACACACAGAAACACACACACACAAAUAGUUAACGAAUAUGUUUUUAUUUUGUUUGUUUUUUGUUUUUUUUUUUGAGACAGAGUCUUGCUUUGUUGCCCAGGCUGGAAUGCAGUGGCGUGAUCUCAGAAUUCACUGCAACCUCUGACUCCCAGGUUCAAGAGUUUGGAAACUUAUACACAGACACAGACAGACAGACACACACACACAGACACACGCACACACACACACAGUUAACAAAUAUUUUUGUUUUGUUUUGUUUUUGUUUUUUUUGGUUUUUUUUUGGAGACAAGAGUCUUGCUUUAUUGCUCAGGCUGGAGUGCAGUGGCGUGACCUCAGAAUUCACUGCAACCUCUGACUCCCAGGUUCAAGAGAUUCUCCUGCCUCAGACUCCCGGGUAGCUGGGAUUAUAGGUGUGUGCCAUCACUACCAGCUACUUUUUGUAUUUUUAGUAGAGAUGGAGUUUCACCGUGUUGGCCAGGCUGGUCUCGAACUCCUGAUCUUGUGAUCCAUCCACCUUGGCCUCCCAAAGUGCUGGAUUACAGGCAUGAGCCACUGUGCCCGGCCUACAACAAAUAUGCUAUUUUUUAGGGGAGAGCUAACAUUUUGUUCCACAUUCAUCAUUUAUUAGUGUGAAUGACAGAAAGCAGAUGUGACUUUUCUCUUUGAAAAGUAACUAGUAACUGGGUCAAGGCUGGAAUCUAAUACACUGUUUAGCUGAUUGUUCUUUUGUAUGUUUCCUCUCAAAUGACUGCAACACAGUGAAGAAAAUGAUUAUACAGCUUUUGUUAAUAUAUGUUAGAGUUGGCUGCCUUAAGACAUCAAUAAAUACUGAAGAGAUAAGAGUGACUUACCAUUUCAUGUGGCUAUAGUAUAUUAAGUAGUUACAUAGAAAAUGUGUGGAUAUCAUAUGUCACAUUCUCCCAAAUGUUACAGAAAUGAUCUAAUGACUUUUGGGGAACUCUGGAUACAGAAAUGGUGACUUAGGGCAGAUAAAG